rnacentral:rRNA from 1 species
UUCGGCGUGCUUAACACAUGCAAGUCGAACGGAAAGGCCCUGCUUUUGUGGGGUGCUCGAGUGGCGAACGGGUGAGUAACACGUGAGUAACCUGCCCUUGACUUUGGGAUAACUUCAGGAAACUGGGGCUAAUACCGGAUAGGAGCUCCUGCUGCAUGGUGGGGGUUGGAAAGUUUCGGCGGUUGGGGAUGGACUCGCGGCUUAUCAGCUUGUUGGUGGGGUAGUGGCUUACCAAGGCUUUGACGGGUAGCCGGCCUGAGAGGGUGACCGGCCACAUUGGGACUGAGAUACGGCCCAGACUCCUACGGGAGGCAGCAGUGGGGAAUAUUGCACAAUGGGCGGAAGCCUGAUGCAGCAACGCCGCGUGCGGGAUGACGGCCUUCGGGUUGUAAACCGCUUUCGCCUGUGACGAAGCGUGAGUGACGGUAAUGGGUAAAGAAGCACCGGCUAACUACGUGCCAGCAGCCGCGGUGAUACGUAGGGUGCGAGCGUUGUCCGGAUUUAUUGGGCGUAAAGGGCUCGUAGGUGGUUGAUCGCGUCGGAAGUGUAAUCUUGGGGCUUAACCCUGAGCGUGCUUUCGAUACGGGUUGACUUGAGGAAGGUAGGGGAGAAUGGAAUUCCUGGUGGAGCGGUGGAAUGCGCAGAUAUCAGGAGGAACACCAGUGGCGAAGGCGGUUCUCUGGGCCUUUCCUGACGCUGAGGAGCGAAAGCGUGGGGAGCGAACAGGCUUAGAUACCCUGGUAGUCCACGCUGUAAACGGUGGGUACUAGGUGUGGGGUCCAUUCCACGGGUUCCGUGCCGUAGCUAACGCUUUAAGUACCCCGCCUGGGGAGUACGGCCGCAAGGCUAAAACUCAAAGGAAUUGACGGGGCCCCGCACAAGCGGCGGAGCAUGCGGAUUAAUUCGAUGCAACGCGUAGAACCUUACCUGGGUUUGACAUGGAUCGGGAGUGCUCAGAGAUGGGUGUGCCUCUUUUGGGGUCGGUUCACAGGUGGUGCAUGGCUGUCGUCAGCUCGUGUCGUGAGAUGUUGGGUUAAGUCCCGCAACGAGCGCAACCCUUGUUCACUGUUGCCAGCACGUUAUGGUGGGGACUCAGUGGAGACCGCCGGGGUCAACUCGGAGGAAGGUGGGGAUGACGUCAAGUCAUCAUGCCCCUUAUGUCCAGGGCUUCACGCAUGCUACAAUGGCUGGUACAGAGAGUGGCGAGCCUGUGAGGGUGAGCGAAUCUCGGAAAGCCGGUCUCAGUUCGGAUUGGGGUCUGCAACUCGACCUCAUGAAGUCGGAGUCGCUAGUAAUCGCAGAUCAGCAACGCUGCGGUGAAUACGUUCCCGGGGCUUGUACACACCGCCCGUCAAGUCAUGAAAGUUGGUAACACCCGAAGCCGGUGGCCUAACCGUUGUGGGGGAGCCGUCGAAGGUGGGACUGGUGAUUAGGACU